rnacentral:misc_RNA from 1 species
AAGAUGGUUUACAAACUCAAACGUUAAAGAAGGCUAUCUGUUAAAAAUCCAUGAAUUGUAUUCUAUCAAUCUUUUUAUGAAACAUGGAAAUAAAAGAGAAAGUGAAGACAAAAAUUCAUGACCCCUUGGACAAGAAACCUUGACUCUUUCACUUUGUUAAUCAUGUACUCAGAACUAUUGCACCUAGAACUUCAGUCAAUCAAAGGAAAUUCUAUCAAAAUGAUUCCUCCUAUAUCUCAUUCUAAUUCUCUUUUUAAAUAAACAAAAUUGAAGAGGAUGGAAUAAUUAAAAAAAUAGGGAAAAAAAACCCAUCACCAAACACAUUAUUAAAAUUGCAUUCUUCAAAUGGCUUUUACGAUAAAAGGUUGAUAAUAUUUUUCCAGUAAUAAAGUAACUAAGUAUUCUUUUUCUUAAAAAAGUAUGCCAGACAUAAACUUCUUUUGUAUACAGCAAGCAUACUAGGGUUCCAUUAUCCUUUGUUGCUUUGGAUAAAUUCAUUAUGUUUCAAAAAAGAAUAGUUCCAUAACAGUAUUUAACAACAUUAAAAUUCAUGAUAAGUUAAGUACUUUCUUUACAGCCUUAACUAUCAUAAUUGCUCUGAAAUCUACUAGAUCGUAACGAAUAACUAACAGUUGGCAAAUGGGAUUAUGCAAAGAUAAUAAUUUUAUCUAUCUUGAUCAUACAACUGAAAUGAUAAUUCAGGUGGUGAGAACAAGUAACUUUUUCAACAUACCCUCUUUGCUUUCAAUU